GAUGAACGCUGGCGGCGUGCCUAACACAUGCAAGUCGAGCGAAUGAAGUUCCUUCGGGAACGGAUUUAGCGGCGGAUGGGUGAGUAACACGUGGGCAACCUGCCUCAUAGAGGGGAAUAGCCUUCCGAAAGGGAGAUUAAUACCGCAUAAGAUUGUAGUACCGCAUGGUACAGCAAUUAAAGGAGUAAUCCGCUAUGAGAUGGGCCCGCGGCGCAUUAGCUAGUUGGUGAGGUAACGGCUCACCAAGGCGACGAUGCGUAGCCGACCUGAGAGGGUGAUCGGCCACAUUGGGACUGAGACACGGCCCAGACUCCUACGGGAGGCAGCAGUGGGGAAUAUUGCACAAUGGGGGAAACCCUGAUGCAGCAACGCCGCGUGAGUGAUGACGGCCUUCGGGUUGUAAAGCUCUGUCUUCAGGGACGAUAAUGACGGUACCUGAGGAGGAAGCCACGGCUAACUACGUGCCAGCCGCCGCAGUAAAAC
rnacentral:rRNA from 1 species